AUAUGUGAUAUUUGAUGUUUUAUUCAAUGGCAUGGGUUCCACUUUAACAGUUUCUGUGCUGAAACUCUCACUAUUAUAUAGAGGAAACAUUGAUUUUAAAAUGACUCGAUGUUACCUGGAUAGGACCCUGAGUGUGGUAAACCAAUAGAUUAGCUUUUUUUUUUUUUUUUUAAAGAAAAGGUUCCUGUAAGUGUCUUAUCAGACUAUGAUAACUUUGUAAAUCAUGCUAUCCCUUAGCAUUAA